UUCUCAAAAGGAUUACUUUUCGACUCACUCGCAUUUGUGAUAUUGAAGGGAGUUUCAUAAAAGAUGCAAUGUGCUGAUAGAUGUUGUAUUCCAAAACAAGAUUUAUGCAGCUGCAUGCGAAAUUCAAAGGUGACGGUUAAACAUAGGAAUGAGGAUCCAAACAUCCAUCUAUCACUCCUCCUGAGCAUUUCCAAACACAAAUAUUAUAGUUACUCGAAGGUAAUCGAUUAUUCGAUGAAAAUUUAAUUGAACCUUUCAAUAAUUAAGGUUUGGUAAAUUUCAUCCGAAAAGUUACGCUUAUCAUCGAUUUUGUUGAUUGUUGAUUACUCGGCUCGGGAAUAAUAUUAAAGAAAGUGUGAAUAAUGUGUAACAAGGUAAAGAUAUCACUCUGGGAGAGAUAACAAAAAGUGAUCGAAAUAUUUAUUUCGCGUCGCGUAAAAGAUGGUAUUCAAUUCGAAAUUCAUCUCAAAAUAAUGACACAUUUUUUUUGGUGACAGAUAGAACGUUGUCGAAGAUAUUUUUUUCGUCGUCAUUUGGAAUUAGGCGGCGUGUAUACCUACGAAUCGGUACAGACGCUGCUCAAAAACUAUGGUUGAGAUGCCGCUUUUUCUAUAUGAAACUCGUGACCAGCAGCAGCAGAAUGCAUACCCAAUAUAAAAAAUAACAAGUGUAAUACAAAAUCUGUGCUCACCCGAAAAUUUGGAAGCAGCCAUGAAAUGUAUCAAAUAAGAGCAGUAGACAUUUUCAAAUUUUCUUGCCUUACCCAUCUCGCUCGCAUUAAUUCACAAGUGACAUCUUACCCUUUAAAACGGCAUCUCUCCAAAAUAAAUAUUUUUAUUUGUUGCUAAUAAUUUAUUAUGAUAAUCAUUGUUUU